CGGAGAGUCUGCAGGAGCUCCGGUCUCUGUGUCCCAUCUUCAACAUGCAGCUCAUCUACACGCACAGCAAUGAACACUUUGAAGUCUUCACCACUGUGCUUGCUCCUCAAGGGAGGCAUCGACACCGAGCAGAAGCUGAAAAGAUGGUGGUGGUGCACAGCUACAGUCCCCACUGGCCCGAUGAGCUGGAGCUGCGUGCGGGUGACGUCGUCCUCGUGCUGCCGCGGCCGGAGGAAGAGAGGUGGUUUGGGCGGCUGCUGGACGGCCAGCAGGGAUACUUCCCAUCCUCCUGUGUGAUGGAGCUGAGCCAGGUGAAAGCCCUGCGGAGGAGUUUACCUGUGAGAAGCUCGGCCUGCGACAACGACUCAGGUGUGAACAGCAGACACGGAGUUGGACACAUUCUGCAGGCCCUCAGGAGGGGCGGCAGAGGAGGAGCAGGGCUGGGUGGAGGCCAAGGUGAGAGCGAGGGCCCCUUCCCGGUGCAGAGGAGCCCCCAGAUCCCUCCGCCUCAGACACACCGGUCCCCAAGCCUGCUCCACAGGAUCUUGUCCAAGUGCCGGAGAAAGAGCGAUUGCCAGGGAGCCACCAACGGGGCCUUCCAGGGCGACUAGGAGGCCUCCUCUCUGAGGGGGGGGGGCUGCUGGGCUGCGUUUGGGGGAACUUCUGAAAUGUGAAGAGACUUGAAUAUCCUGAUGUGGGCUGCUACUCAUUUCCAUCCCGGGUACUCUUGACUUGGUUGCAUUUCUAGUUAAACUGUGAGUGUCCAAAGAUAAAUCAGUGAUGUCACAGAAGGUGUUUUUACCCAUAAUGUUUCAGGAGUCCUAAAACCCUGAAAUCUGCAUUUCUAUGCAUCAGAUGUCUGAAAUAAGAUCAAUGGUUGAAACAAGAUUAAGAGAUUUUCACGUUUCGUUCUACGUCAGUAAACUUUUGAAGCUUCUCCGAGUCUUUAAAAAGGUUGUUUGCUAACAAGUGUCUGAAGGAGACGACAGAGGUUGUCCAACAUUAGCCGCCAUUAGCUUAGCGGUGGUGAGAUGAAGUCAUGUGAUCGAGCUGUAGUUUCUUUAUAGCCUAACGUUAGCUUUUUACUUCAGAAAUCAUUUUCAUUUUUAAAGAUUAUCCUGCUGAGCGUGUCCAUCCAUCCAUCCACUGUCUACCGCUUAUCCGGGUCGGGUCGCGGGGGCAGCAGCUCCAGUAAGGAACCCCAAUCUUCCCUUCUCCGGGCCACAUCCUCCAGCUCCGACUGGGGGAUCCCGAGGCGUUCCCAGGCCAGUGAGGAGAUAUAAUCUCUCCACCGAGUCCUGGGUCUUCCUCGGGUCUCCUCCCAGCUGGACGUGCCUGGAACACCUCCCUAGGGAGGCGCCCAGGUGGCAUCCUUACUAGAUGCUGAACCACCUCAACUGGCUCCUUUCAACGUAAAGGAGCAGCGGCUCUACUCCGAGUGUCUCACGGAUGUCUGAGCUUCUCACCCUAUCUCUAAGGGAGACGCCAGCCACCCAUCUGAGAAAACCCAUUUCGGCCACUUGUACCCUGCUUUAUUAUUAUCCUGCUGAACGUGUGAGAAUCAUAAACGUUUGUUCACCACAGAGUUUACUUUCUGCAACAAUCCAAAAUCCAAAGUAAAAAUCCUGUUAGCGCUUAGAGGAGGGGAGCAGGGCGACGCUACCUUCACGGUGGGACACAGAAACAUCCUCCCUGCAGCACGCCUGAUGUGACAUCACUGAUGGGCGACGUGUUUGAAUGUUCAGAGAUCAGAUGCCAGGCUUCACCUCUGACAAGAUAAUCAAUAUAUAAUUAUAAUCAUUGCAUUCACUGUGUAAAGUAUAACAAAGGACUUAGUGGCAAUCAGUGAAGCAAUAAGAUGCUCAAAGGAAAACCUCCCCACAAAAUGCUCCUCUGCCCCCCCCCUCUUGAUGAGUUGAAGUGAAUGGAGUUUGCAAGCUGUCACACACACAUCUCUUUAUGUUGAGGAUAGUAAGAUGUGAUGUAACUGUAUAUCCUCUUUUAUCUAAAUAUAUUAUUGUUGAUUGUUCAGCUUUGGUAACAACGUUUUUCUUUAACCAUCUCUGCCAGUAAAUCAUAUUCCACCUGAAGUGACGUUAUUAUCCUGCAGGCUGUGUGACAGUUUGUAAACGGAUGUUUUCGUAGUCCUCUGUUGUAAAACUCGCCUCCAUUCACUUCUUCAACUCAUCAAGACUUUUCUCUCUUUUUAAUUCUUUGUUCACUGUGGGGGGGGGGGCGAUGUACAGAGGGUCAUUUUGGGGUGAAGUUUUCCUUUAACUGAUCUGAUGCAGCCUGUUAUUCUAUGAUGCUGUUAGAAACAUCAUCAUUAGUGUCUGUUGCCUCCCUGUGGAUCUGCUGAUGUGUGUGUUGCUGCUUCACGUGUACAUGUGUGUAUCAGUAUAAAGCCUUCAGUGGAGACCUGCCUCAUGUGUUACCUCAUACUUGAGCUC
rnacentral:lncRNA from 1 species